rnacentral:rRNA from 1 species
AGUGAACGCUGGCGGUAGGCCUAACACAUGCAAGUCGAACGGCAGCACAGUAAGAGCUUGCUCUUACGGGUGGCGAGUGGCGGACGGGUGAGGAAUACAUCGGAAUCUACUUUUUCGUGGGGGAUAACGUAGGGAAACUUACGCUAAUACCGCAUACGACCUACGGGUGAAAGCAGGGGAUCUUCGGACCUUGCGCGAUUGAAUGAGCCGAUGUCGGAUUAGCUAGUUGGCGGGGUAAAGGCCCACCAAGGCGACGAUCCGUAGCUGGUCUGAGAGGAUGAUCAGCCACACUGGAACUGAAACACGGUCCAGACUCCUACGGGAGGCAGCAGUGGGGAAUAUUGGACAAUGGGCGCAAGCCUGAUCCAGCCAUACCGCGUGGGUGAAGAAGGCCUUCGGGUUGUAAAGCCCUUUUGUUGGGAAAGAAAGGCAGCAGGUUAAUACCCCGCUGUUCUGACGGUACCCAAAGAAUAAGCACCGGCUAACUUCGUG